GACGGAGGGUGCAAACGUUGCUCGGAAUCACUGGGCAUAAAGCGCACGUAGGCGGCUAGCUAAGUUGGGUGUGAAAGCCCCCGGCUCAACCGGGGAAUGGCAUCCGAUACUGGCUGGCUCGAGGACGGUAGGGGUGAGUGGAACUCCAGGUGGAGCGGUGAAAUGCGUAGAUAUCUGGAGGAACACCGGUGGCGAAAGCGGCUCACUGGACCGUCUCUGACGCUGAGGUGCGAAAGCCAGGGUAGCGAAC
rnacentral:rRNA from 1 species